ACGGCCAUAUCACGCUAAAACACCGGUUCCUGUCCGAUCAUCGAAGUUAAGCAACGUCGAGCCUGGUCAAUAUCUAGAAGAGUGACCGUUUGGGAAUAUCAAGUUCUGUAAG